rnacentral:rRNA from 1 species
UACGUAGGGCGCGAGCGUUAUCCGGAAUUAUUGGGCGUAAAGAGCUCUUAGGCGGUUUGUCACGUCUGCUGUGAAAACUGGAGGCUCAACCUCCAGCCUGCAGUGGGUACGGGCAGACUAGAGUGCGGUAGGGGAGAUUGGAAUUCCUGGUGUAGCGGUGGAAUGCGCAGAUAUCAGGAGGAACACCGAUGGCGAAGGCAGAUCUCUGGGCCGUAACUGACGCUGAGGAGCGAAAGCAUGGGGAGCGAACAGG